AAUUUGUCGCAAGUCAGUCAAUGGGUUAUUAGGAUUCGGGCAGAUGAAUUUUGUGGUGGACGGUCCUUCUUCAAUUGCCCGUUUGUUUCCGCUAACGAUCGUCUCUUUCUCCCUCUAUCAUUCGUCUCAUAAGAACAGAGAUGGUGAAAGGUCCAAACUCUCUAUCCUGAUAUCAACAAGAAAGCCAGAGGUAAUUCAUCAAUUUUCAGCGAAUUUUUAUAUCGAUUUAUCUGUGUGUUUGUUGAUUUGCAUAUGAAUAUUCGGUUUCUGAUUUUGUGCUAGAUUGACUCACACUUUGUAUUGUUUCGUUGUCUUUGAAAUUUUGCAUACGAGGUGCUCGAUGAAAUGCGACAGCCAGAGCCAGUGCAGGAGAUGGAACCAGGGUGGCAUAGAAGAGACGAAAGGUUCCUGCUAUUUAUUUUCUCUGUAAAAAUCGACAGCUUCAACGCGUGGCAUCGAAGUUGCUCUCACGUCACCAGAAGUUGCAUUGAUUUGUAGUUUUUGUUUCAUUAAGUCACCGUCUCUCAGUGGCGGCGAUAAAUGUGAACCACAGCUACUGAAUGAAACGAAUGAAUGUGAACUGGUCAUCCUCGCCAUCGUUGCGACUCUUCCAAUGCUUAUGGUUCAUCUUCUUCGAUUCAGAUUCGUCAUCAUCCACCCACCUUCUUCUUUUCCUUAUCAGCUUGAGAUCAUUGGAGUGUUUAUCGGAUCCGCAUCACCCUAUUGAACCCCCAAAAAAACAUUGGAAUCAUCCUGAUUCAUUUGUGCACACAAGUAAGCCUGCUCUAUAAGUAAGGUUAUUUUAUUCAAUACCCAUUGUAGUUUUCCCAACUUCCAAAUCAAGUAGUUCAAAUAUUAGGGUGCUAUAAUGUAUGAAUAUUUGUCGUAUGAUAA